GUUAAGAUGGCAGAGACUGGUAAUUGCAUAAGCCUUAAACCCUUAUAGCCAGAGGUUCAACUCCUCUUCUUAACA
rnacentral:tRNA from 1 species